rnacentral:rRNA from 1 species
GAUGAACGCUGGCGGCGUGCCUAAUACAUGCCAGUCGAGCGAACAGAUGAGGAGCUUGCUCCUCUGACGUUAGCGGCGGACGGGUGAGUAACACGUGGAUAACCUACCUAUAAGACUGGGAUAACUUCGGGAAACCGGAGCUAAUACCGGAUAAUAUAUUGAACCGCAUGGUUCAAUAGUGAAAGACGGUUUUGCUGUCACUUAUAGAUGGAUCCGCGCCGCAUUAGCUAGUUGGUAAGGUAACGGCUUGCCAAGGCAACGAUGCGUAGCCGACCUGAGAGGGUGAUCGGCCACACUGGAACUGAGACACGGUCCAGACUCCUACGGGAGGCAGCAGUAGGGAAUCUUCCGCAAUGGGCGAAAGCCUGACGGAGCAACGCCGCGUGAGUGAUGAAGGUCUUCGGAUCGUAAAACUCUGUUAUUAGGGAAGAACAAAUGUGUAAGUAACUAUGCACGUCUUGACGGUACCUAAUCAGAAAGCCACGGCUAACUACGUG